CAACAGGGAAGAUUGUGACAUAUCACUGGGCCUAACACCAAGGUGUAGUUACACUUUUGCCUUGGCCCUGAACUCUGAAGUUCACUGUGACGUACUGCUGGGCCCAGCACCAAGGUGAUGUGAGUCUCCUGCCUGGAGCCUGCACACAGGGGCUAUUGUGACAUAUCUCUGGGCCCAUUUACUAUUUGAUGUUACUCUCUUCUCUUACCUUGGCUUUGCCUGUAGGAGAGGCAAAUCCCAGCACUUUGGGAGGCCAAGGCUGGACAUAACUCUGGGCCCAGCACCUAGGUGAUGUGACUCCCUUUUCUGCCUGGAUGGUGCUCACAGAAGAGAAAGUGACUUACUUCUGGGCCCAGCAGAGAGAUGACAUGAUUCUUCUGCCUGGUCCCUCCCCACAAAACCCAUUGUGACUUAACUCUGGGCCCAUCACCUAAAUGACGUGACUCUCCUCUUCUUCCUGUGUCCUGUACACAUUCUACCCACAGGGAACAUUGUAACAUAUCUCUGGAUCCAUCACCUGGAUAAUGUGACUCUUCUGGGGACCUAUUCACAGUGAAAAUUGUGACACAUCUCUUGGGUUCUACCCACAAGGGAGAUUUUGACUUAUUGCUGUCCUCAAAAUGAAGGUGAUGUGACACUUUUGCCUUGGACCCACCCUUGAAGACAUUGUGACAUAUUUCUUAGCUCAGCAUCAGAACGAUGUGUCUUCUUAGUAGACUCUGCCAACAUGGGGCAUUGUGACAUAUCUCUGGGCCCAUCAACUA